rnacentral:rRNA from 1 species
CCUACGGGAGGCAGCAGUGGGGAAUUUUGGACAAUGGGCGAAAGCCUGAUCCAGCAAUGCCGCGUGAGUGAAGAAGGCCUUCGGGUUGUAAAGCUCUUUUGUCAGGGAAGAAACGGUGUGGGCUAAUAUCCUGCACUAAUGACGGUACCUGAAGAAUAAGCACCGGCUAACUACGUGCCAGCAGCCGCGGUAAUACGUAGGGUGCAAGCGUUAAUCGGAAUUACUGGGCGUAAAGCGUGCGCAGGCGGUUUUGUAAGUCUGUCGUGAAAUCCCCGGGCUCAACCUGGGAAUUGCGAUGGAGACUGCAAGGCUAGAAUCUGGCAGAGGGGGGUAGAAUUCCACGUGUAGCAGUGAAAUGCGUAGAGAUGUGGAGGAACACCGAUGGCGAAGGCAGCCCCCUGGGUCAAGAUUGACGCUCAUGCACGAAAGCGUGGGGAGCAAACAGGAUUAGAUACCCUGGUAGUCCACGCCCUAAACGAUGUCUACUAGUUGUCGGGUUUUAAUUAACUUGGUAACGCAGCUAACGCGUGAAGUAGACCGCCUGGGGAUACGGUCGCAAGAUUAAAACUCAAAGGAAUUGACGGCGNGAGAGUGCGACGACGACGACGAGGGAGGAGG